AUUACUAGCAAGUGGGCUCCUCUCUGCCGGCAAGCCCCACAUGUUAAUUUGACGACCCAUUUCAGUGUCUACAUGAAGAUUAGCAAGGCUUCUAUUCCUCUUUGAAUGCCUCGACUGUCUCGACUUUGAUUCCCCUGAUGCAAUGGCUGACUCCUCAGCAGAAAAUACACCAUUUAUUCUCUGAGGUGCUACGUGAAGUCUACUAGCAUCAAUUUGAUGUUGGUAGAGUAAAGAGGGAUAAAACAUAGUCCCAUUAGGUAUCAGAGAUGCAUUACAGUCUUGAUCUCCAAGAUGCAGUGAAGGCUCUACAUAUGGCCUUUUAGAAGAGAAAUCAUUCCUUGCAAAGAUAUCCAUUUUCAAAUCAACAUCCAAAGCAUCCUUUCCAUCAAGAAGCUCACAUAAAGCUUCACCAAUAUCUGGAGGUAACUCCUGACAAUCUCUACUAAUUUUGACUGGUUUGUAUUGAUUCCAUGGAUUCUUAAGGUGAAGAGUUCUUUGGAAAGGCAGAUCAUACAAUCGCAGCCAAUUCACUUCAAAGCUUCGACCCCAAGGAUUACGACCACCAUUUCCUUGACUCCAAACUUGGUCUCUUCUCAAACCGACAGAAGAAAUCAUUUGGGCGUACCCUUGGAAAUACCCACUCAUGUUGACACUGAAUAUUAGUAUAACCUUGCUGGAAUUAUGAAAUGCUUCAUCCAAAAUGGCCUCAUUCAUGGCUUGAGUAGCCCAAAUCCCUCUGUUUACUGAUAAUUGGAUAUUUUCAUGGUUUAAACUCUUGAUUACAAAAUAUCUUAUGCCAUAGAGUUUACCCUUUUCAAUUGCACUUGAAAUUCCAGUCGACGGAGAUGAAACUGUGAACUCACCACCCUCAAUAACUCCGAGGCAUGAACUAUCUGGUCCGUCAGAAUUCCUUCUUUCAUUUGUGCAAUCGGUCACUACAGAAUAAGCUAUAGAUGCAUUUUCUCUUGCAGUAUCUGACGGCAUAUCUGCUUACAACCUCCUAUUGAAUAAGAUACAAGUUAUUCUCUCCAAUUCCUUGCUCUCGCGCCUCACCACUGGUGGUUGCCGGAACUAGCCGCUGCCAUAUUUCUGGUUCAUGUGACUUCACCACUGGUGGUCUGUCUUACUGAUUUGACGUUACCUUAAGAUUCCCAGUUGAUUUAUGGUGGU
rnacentral:misc_RNA from 1 species